AGCUCCUCUUAGUCUCUCAGAGCCUGGCUCCCUGACCUAAAAUUCAGAGACCAUUAAUUGGCAGCCGCCCUGUGCUGGUGCCAUGAAAGUUCUUUCUUUCCUGGCUAUUGAAAUAAGGGAAGUCAUAGACUGUCAGAAAUGGUGUGGGCCUGGGGGCCAGGCAGGUCCAGGCUAGAACUGAAGAUGAAUUUUACCAUCUCCCAGUCACGUUGACUGGGGAAAGCUGCUUUUGCUUUCUCAGCCCUGUCCUCUCCUCUGACAAUGCUCAAAGGCAGCCACCCUGAUAUUUGCCCUUUCUAUAUAUAAACCUGGAGCCACAGACUGUUUUCUUGGUGAUGGAGAUCUAGAAGGAAAAGCCAAGUGGCAGAAGCUAGUAUCUGACGGUUUGCACGCAGGACGGUGAUCAUUGAAAUAAGUAUAAGACCUGCCACUCCAGACACAGAUUCGUGACUUUGACAUGAUUGGAAUCUUCCCAGAGCAUUCAUAUAUACCCCAAAAGAAGAAUAUUAAUGUUCCUUCAGUAUUUGUGAGGACUCAGUAAGGAAUACAUUGUGUGCCGGUUUGAAUAGGUUUGGCCCUGAUA